UACGUAGGGCGCAAGCGUUAUCCGGAAUUAUUGGGCGUAAAGGGCUCGUAGGCGGUUUGUCGCGUCGGGAGUGAAAACACCGGGCUUAACUCGGUGCUUGCUUCCGAUACGGGCAGACUAGAGGCAUGCAGGGGAGAACGGAAUUCCUGGUGUAGCGGUGAAAUGCGCAGAUAUCAGGAGGAACACCGGUGGCGAAGGCGGUUCUCUGGGCAUGUCCUGACGCUGAGGAGCGAAAGUGUGGGGAGCGAACAGGG
rnacentral:rRNA from 1 species